GUGAAGUUGACCGCCUGGGGAGUACGGUCGCAAGAUUAAAACUCAAAGGAAUUGACGGGGACCCGCACAAGCAGCGGAGCAUGUGGCUUAAUUCGACGCAACGCGAAGAACCUUACCAAGGCUUGACAUAUACCGGAAAGCAUCAGAGAUGGUGCCCCCCUUGUGGUCGGUAUACAGGUGGUGCAUGGCUGUCGUCAGCUCGUGUCGUGAGAUGUUGGGUUAAGUCCCGCAACGAGCGCAACCCUUGUUCUGUGUUGCCAGCAUGCCCUUCGGGGUGAUGGGGACUCACAGGAGACUGCCGGGGUCAACUCGGAGGAAGGUGGGGACGACGUCAAGUCAUCAUGCCCCUUAUGUCUUGGGCUGCACACGUGCUACAAUGGCCGGUACAAUGAGCUGCGAUGCCGCGAGGCGGAGCGAAUCUCAAAAAGCCGGUCUCAGUUCGGAUUGGGGUCUGCAACUCGACCCCAUGAAGUCGGAGUUGCUAGUAAUCGCAGAUCAGCAUUGCUGCGGUGAAUACGUUCCCGGGCCUUGUACACACCGCCCGUCACGUCACGAAAGUCGGUAACACCCGAAGCCGGUGGCCCAACCCCUUGUGGGAGGGAGCUCGA
rnacentral:rRNA from 1 species